rnacentral:siRNA from 1 species
CGAGCCACCAUCACGUUCCUA